AUGUGUCGUCUUCAGAACAAUAGAAGAAAAAACUUCAGUCCCCAAUAUCUCCUCCAGAGAAACCCUAAUUCUGGAGGUACUUUACAUUUAAGGGAAACUGAUGGAGUCUAUGACAGUGAGAGUAUAAUAGAUGAAGUGGUACAUGAAACACUAAUUGUGGAUUAUCAGAAGGAACAUAUGAAAGAUUUCUCACAACAGUCUUGGGAAAAUAUGGCUGAAAUAGGAAAUGAUGGUCACCAUGACAUUGAUUACAUUCUUGAACAGAAAUUUCAAUUGGUUUCUUCAAAGAAAAGAAGAAACAAAAAAGUUUAG